rnacentral:rRNA from 1 species
AGUGAACGCUGGCGGUAGGCCUAACACAUGCAAGUCGAACGGCAGCACAGUAAGAGCUUGCUCUUACGGUUGGCGAGUGGCGGACGGGUGAGGAAUACAUCGGAAUCUACUUUUUCGUGGGGGAUAACGUAGGGAAACUUACGCUAAUACCGCAUACGACCUACGGGUGAAAUCAGGGGAUCUUCGGACCUUGCGCGAUUGAAUGAGCCGAUGUCGGAUUAGCUAGUUGGCGGGGUAAAGGCCCACCAAGGCGACGAUCCGUAGCUGGUCUGAGAGGAUGAUCAGCCACACUGGAACUGAGACACGGUCCAGACUCCUACGGGAGGCAGCAGUGGGGAAUAUUGGACAAUGGGCGCAAGCCUGACCCAGCCAUACCGCGUGGGUGAAGAAGGCCUUCGGGUUGUAAAGCCCUUUUGUUGGGAAAGAAAAGCAGCAGGUUAAUACCCCGCUGUUCUGACGGUACCCAAAGAAUAAGCACCGGCUAACUUCGUG